CUGCGGUGUCCGAGUGGUUAAGGAGAUGGACUUGAAAUCCAUUGGGUUCUACCCGCACAGGUUCGAAUCCUGUCCGCAGCGA
rnacentral:tRNA from 1 species